rnacentral:lncRNA from 1 species
ACUUUGACUUUCAAUGUUAUUGGUCAACAUAUGAUGAUCGGUACAUUGUACUUCAUUUAAUUCAUUUGUAUUUUUGCCAUUUUUAUUUCCAUUAUUCAUCUCCUUCUUCUGCUUCUUCUUUUUUUUCUUUUUGAUCAAUGAGUUGAAGGUUGAUAAGUUAGCAUUGAUUAGGGAGACUUAAUCUUCCUUAAUCCAAAUCUAAUUCAUCUUGAUCAAUAGAUCAAGUGAAUGGCUUUGCAUUAAGGAUA